UACGUAGGGGGCAAGCGUUGUCCGGAUUUAUUGGGCGUAAAGAGCGUGUAGGCGGCCAUACAGGUCAGCUGUGAAAACUCGAGGCUCAACCUCGAGACGUCGGUUGAAACCGUAUGGCUAGAGUCCGGAAGAGGAGAGUGGAAUUCCCGGUGUAGCGGUGAAAUGCGUAGAUAUCGAGAGGAACACCUGCGGCGAAGGCGGGUAGCUGGGCCGACACUGACGCUGAGGCGCGAAAGCCAGGGGAGCGAACGGG
rnacentral:rRNA from 1 species